UGGGGGAAUUUUGGACAAUGGGCGAAAGCCUGAUCCAGCAAUGCCGCGUGUGUGAAGAAGGCCUUCGGGUUGUAAAGCACUUUUGUCCGGAAAGAAAUCCUUGGCUCUAAUACAGUCGGGGGAUGACGGUACCGGAAGAAUAAGCACCGGCUAACUACGUGCCAGCAGCCGCGGUAAUACGUAGGGUGCAAGCGUUAAUCGGAAUUACUGGGCGUAAAGCGUGCGCAGGCGGUUUGCUAAGACCGAUGUGAAAUCCCCGGGCUCAACCUGGGAACUGCAUUGGUGACUGGCAGGCUAGAGUAUGGCAGAGGGGGGUAGAAUUCCACGUGUAGCAGUGAAAUGCGUAGAGAUGUGGAGGAAUACCGAUGGCGAAGGCAGCCCCCUGGGCCAAAUACUGACGCUCAUGCACGAAAGCGUGGGGAGCAAAACAGGAUUAGAUACCCUGGUAGUCCACGCCCUAAACGAUGUCAACUAGUUGUUGGGGAUUCAUUUCCUUAGUAACGUAGCUAACGCGUGAAGUUGACCGCCUGGGGAGUACGGUCGCAAGAUUAAAACUUAAAUGAAUUGACGGGGUCAUAGCUGUUUCCU
rnacentral:rRNA from 1 species